GGAGAGAUGUCCGAGUGGCUGAAGGAGCACGAUUGGAAAUCGUGUGUGGGGCUUAUAACUCCACCGAGGGUUCGAAUCCCUCUCUCUCCGCCA
rnacentral:tRNA from 1 species